GUUUACGUCCCCUCCCUUUGUACACACCGCCCGUCGCUACUACCGAUUGAUGGCUCAGUGAGGCGUCCGGACUGGCCCAGAGAGGCGGGCAACUGCCACUCAGGGCCGGAAAGCUCUCCAAACUCGGUCAUUUAGAGGAAGUAAAAGUCGUAACAAGGUCUCCGUUGGUGAACCAGCGGAGGGAUCAUUA
rnacentral:rRNA from 1 species